UACAGAGGUGUCAAACGUUGUCCGGAAUUACUGGGCGUAAAGGGCGCGUAGGCGGCCUUAUAAGUCAGAUGUGAAAGCUCUGGGCUCAACCCAGGAAUUGCAUCUGAUACUGUAAGGCUUGAGUUCGGUAGAGGAGGGCGGAAUUCCAGGUGUAGCGGUGAAAUGCGCAGAUAUCGGGAAGAACACCCGUGGCGAAGGCGGCUCUCUGGGACGGUACUGACGCUGAGACGCGAAAGCGUGGGGAGCGAACAGG
rnacentral:rRNA from 1 species